AGCCAACAGAGGAAUGCAACUUCCGCGCCUUUAGGAUCAUAACAGAAGACAAUGAGGUAUUCUGUUUGGCUCCAGACUCUCCGUGGCUCCAACGUCGUAUAGAGGAGGGAAAUGUGGAGUGUCCUGCCAUCAUGACCGAAACCGAACGCAGAGUUGAAGUCCUGAACAAAGUCGACAUGGAAUAAAAACAGCUGCCAGAAUCAUGUCUGAUCAUUUACUGCUUCCUGCUUUUACUGCAAUAUAAAGAUAGAUAAAUAUAGAUAACUGAACAUGUUUCAGGCACAGCUUUGCUUUUUUUGGAGGGAAAUAAUCCUGCAACCAAAAAUAAUAAAUCAUUUAGAAAGUGA